GUUGAACGCUGGCGGAAUGCUUUACACAUGCAAGUCGAACGGUAGAGGGGGCAACCCCUUGAGAGUGGCGAACGGGUGAGUAAUAUAUCGGAACGUGCCCAGUCGUGGGGGAUAACGUAGUGAAAAUUACGCUAAUACCGCAUACGAUCUAGGGAUGAAAGCGGGGGAUCGCAAGACCUCGCGCGAUUGGAGCGGCCGAUAUCAGAUUAGGUAGUUGGUAGGGUAAAGGCCGACCAAGCCAACGAUCUGUAGCUGGUCUGAGAGGACGACCAGCCACACUGGAACUGAGACACGGUCCAGACUCCUACGGGAGGCAGCAGUGGGGAAUUUUGGACAAUGGGCGAAAGCCUGAUCCAGCCAUUCCGCGUGCAGGAUGAAGGCCCUCGGGUUGUAAAGCUCUUUCGGCCGGGAAGAAAUCGCACAGGCUAAUACUCUGUGUGGAUGACGGUACCGGCAUAAGAAGCACCGGCUAACUACGUGCCAGCAGCCGCCGUAA
rnacentral:rRNA from 1 species